rnacentral:siRNA from 1 species
UCUAGAUAACGGAGAUUUCUC